rnacentral:rRNA from 1 species
UACGGGGGGGGCAAGCGUUGUUCGGAAUUACUGGGCGUAAAGGGCUCGUAGGCGGCCAACUAAGUCGGAUGUGAAAUCCCUCGGCUUAACCGGGGAACUGCGUCCGAUACUGGUUGGCUUGAGUUUGGGAGAGGGAUGCGGAAUUCCAGGUGUAGCGGUGAAAUGCGUAGAUAUCUGGAGGAACACCGGUGGCGAAGGCGGCAUCCUGGACCAAUACUGACGCUGAGGAGCGAAAGCCAGGGGAGCAAACGGG